ACAGAGGGGUGCUACCGGGUGACCGGAUGCCGAUCUCGAAAACCUGUCCCAGUUCGGACUGGAGUCUGCAACCCGACUCCACGAAGUUGGAUUCGCUAGUAAUCGCGCAUCAGCCAUGGCGCGGUGAAUACGUUCCCGGGCCUUGUACACACCGCCCGUCAAGCCAUGGGAGCCGGGGGCGCCUGAAGUCCGGGACCGCGAGGACCGGCCUAGGGCGAAACUGGUGACUGGGGCUAAGUCGUAACAAGGUAGC
rnacentral:rRNA from 1 species